rnacentral:rRNA from 1 species
UACGGAGGGGGCUAGCGUUGUUCGGAAUUACUGGGCGUAAAGGGCUCGUAGGCGGCCAACUAAGUCAGACGUGAAAUCCCUCGGCUUAACCGGGGAACUGCGUCUGAUACUGGAUGGCUCGAGAUUGGGAGAGGGAUGCGGAAUUCCAGGUGUAGCGGUGAAAUGCGUAGAUAUCUGGAGGAACACCGGUGGCGAAGGCGGCAUCCUGGACCAACACUGACGCUGAGGAGCGAAAGCCAGGGGAGCAAACGGGG